AUACGGAGGAUGCAAGCGUUGUUCGGAAUCACUGGGCGUAAAGGGCGCGCAGGCGGUUUGGUAAGUCAGAUGUGAAAGCCCACGGCUCAACCGUGGAAGUGCAUUUGAAACUGCCAGACUUGAGUACCAGAGGGGAAAGUGGAAUUCCCGGUGUAGAGGUGAAAUUCGUAGAUAUCGGGAGGAAUACCGGUGGCGAAGGCGACUUUCUGGCUGGAUACUGACGCUGAGGCGCGAAAGCGUGGGGAGCAAACAGGAUUAGAAACCCCAGUAGUCC
rnacentral:rRNA from 1 species